GCCUGGCUGGCUCAGUUGGCAGAAUGUGUGACUCUUGAUCUUGAGGCUGUGGGUUUGAGCCCCAUGUUGGGUU
rnacentral:tRNA from 1 species